GACGAACGCUGGCGGCGUGCUUAACACAUGCAAGUCGAACGGAAAGGCCUCAGCUUGCUGGGGUACUCGAGUGGCGAACGGGUGAGUAACACGUGGGUGAUCUGCCUUGCACUCUGGGAUAAGCUUGGGAAACUGGGUCUAAUACCGGAUAUGAACUGCCUUUAGUGUGGUGGUUGGAAAGUUUUUUCGGUGCAAGAUGAGCUCGCGGCCUAUCAGCUUGUUGGUGGGGUAAUGGCCUACCAAGGCGUCGACGGGUAGCCGGCCUGAGAGGGUGUACGGCCACAUUGGGACUGAGAUACGGCCCAGGCUCCUACGGGAGGCAGCAGGGGGGAAUAUUGCACAAUGGGCGGAAGCCUGAUGCAGCGACGCCGCGGGGGGGAUGACGGCCUUCGGGUUGUAAACUCCUUUCGACAGGGACGAAGCUUUUUGUGACGGUACCUGUAUAAGAAGCACCGGCUAACUACGUG
rnacentral:rRNA from 1 species